UUCGUACUUCUUCCGUUCGAAAAUACUUGUUAUCAAAAUGAAUAAAAAAAGUAUCUCAAACUAAAAUACGUCUAGAUACAUUUAUUUUUAUUCAUUUUGAUGACAAAUAUUUCCGGACGAAGGGAGUAUCUC
rfam:Triticum aestivum genome assembly, contig: Triticum_aestivum_CS42_TGACv1_scaffold_049505_1BS